rnacentral:misc_RNA from 1 species
AAGUCGUAACAAGGUCUCCGUUGGUGAACCAGCGGAGGGAUCAUUAUUAGAGCCUAAAAACUCACCUAAACCAUUGUGAACUUACCUAUCUGUUGCUUCGGUGGGUGGCCCUUCCGGGGGUCCUCUAGGCCGCAAGGCGCCCGCCGGAGGUUAUUUUAAACACUAUGUCUUCUAUUGUACCUCUGAAUAAGAACCAAAAAUAAUCAAAACUUUCAACAACGGAUCUCUUGGCUCUA